rnacentral:rRNA from 1 species
UACAGAGGUCCCGAGCGUUGUUCGGAUUCACUGGGCGUAAAGGGCGCGUAGGCGGCCAUCUAAGUCAGACGUGAAAUCCCCCGGCUUAACCUGGGAACUGCGUCUGAUACUGGACGGCUCGAGUUUGGGAGAGGGAUGCAGAAUUCCAGGUGUAGCGGUGAAAUGCGUAGAUAUCUGGAGGAACACCGGUGGCGAAGGCGGCAUCCUGGACCAACACUGACGCUGAGUGAGCGAAAGCCAGGGGAGCAAACGGGG